GGCGCAUCUUGCAGCCUGAAAGCAUGAGAAGACCUGGUUAGGCCAGCAGACACGAGGAAAGAACAAGGAAGCUGAACUCUAGUAAACAGCUGUCAAACUUAGUUGGUUGUCUGGGCUUUUCUGCUCUUGUAUGUAACGAUUUGUUGAAUUAAAUAAUGGCUAGAGUCCUUAUUAGGGACUGUUAGCUUAUACGUGACAGACUGCAGAAAUUGGCCAUAAAUACUUUGCAGCUCUUCCCCAUCGAGGGGCAGAGUCUGCUUCUCCACCUCUUGAAUCUGGGCUUGGCUCUAUGACUUGCUUUUGGCCAAUUGGACAUGAGCAAACAUGGCUUGAGAAAAGUUGUCGGGAACCUUUCCACCACUGUGCAAGCAAGCCUGGCUAUCUGUUGGAGAGACCAAGUGGAGAGAGGCUCCAGAAACACAGGGAAUCCAAAGACCAUCAAUUGGCCUGGACCCAAGACUGACCGCGGAUCUUCCCAACUACCAUUUCACUCUUGGCUUGGAUCAGCUUAUUCAGCAGUGAAGCUCUAGUGGGCAGCGUGCACACGGAGCCGUCCUCCGGGAACUGCUUCACGUACCUCUCCCGGGACCGCAUGCCAGUGCCGCAGGAGAUGCUGCAGGGCGACCAGGUGAUCCACUCGGACAUGGUGCAGGUGGAGCCGUCUGCAACACAGGAGCAGAUACUGCAGACCGGGCGCCACGACGCCGGGAUCCGCACGACCAGCCAAACUCCCCAAAGGCGGGCGUCAAGAAGGCCAGCUGGCAUUCAGGGGCAGUUAGGCAGUUGAGGAUGGAAGUCGACAUAAAAGGCACACAUCUUUAAACUAGGAAUUGUUCUUUAAAGGAAGUGCUUUUUUCCAGUGCACGGAGCACUCGUGAUUACUCCUCGUCUCAUGACGACGCAUUUGAAAGAUGGUUGGAUGGAUAGGAGUGUGUGUGUAUGUGUGUGUGCCUGUUCUAAAGAAGAAGAGGGAAAUGAAGUCGUCCAUCCACCCAUCCAUUUACUCAUGUCAGUAAAUCCUUACUGACUGCUUAGUGGUAUGUACUGAGGUUAAAGAGAUGUGUAAGAUACGGAUUUUGAUCUACUCCAGAACGAGAGAUGGGCACAUAAACUGCAAAACACACAUAAGCCCAGUGGAUUGGAAUGGGGAUGCUCCUUGGAGUUCUGGGUGAGAUUUCACAGAAGAGGGCACAUCUGAGUGCACUUUUGUUGGGUAGAGAAUAUCUGUAUUUAAGGUGAAGGGAACAGCUCCUGCAAUAACCUGUACCGAGUGUAUUGUGUGUGGCACUGGGAGAUGAGGCUAGAAAGGACUGAAGUCAGAGUGUGAAGCCUCCUGCACAUGUCCGCAGGCUGUCACGUGCACAUGGGUGAUGCCUACACGUUGUUAUUGAACCUAUGGACAGUGUUGCUAGACAGUGCUUGCUGGCGGUGCAGUAAUAAAGAUGGCUGGAACCCACAUUAGACACAGGGAAAUUCUGACACGUCCUACAAUGUGGAUGAACCUGCGGACAUUAUGCUGAGUGAAAUAAGCCAGUCACAAAAAGACAAAUACUGUAUGAUUCCACUUAUAUGAGAUACCUAGAAUGGUCAGUUCUUAGAAAGUAGAACGGUGGUUGCCAGGGGUUGGGGGAAUGGAGAGUUAGUGGUUAAUGGGUCUACAGUUUGUUUUGCGAGAUGAAAGGAGUUCUGGAGAUAGAGGGUGGUGAUGGUUGCGUGUGUGUGUGUGUGUGUGUGUGUGUGUACACAAUACCACUGAACUGUACAAUUAAAAAUAGUUAAGUUGGUAAACUUGAUGCUGUGUACCACCAAAACUACACCACCAGGCAGAGCCCAACAUGUUUCAGAAUUGUCAUUACUUCCUGGGAGCCACCUGAACUCCACUCCUGUAGAGGGGGUGGUUAAAGAUCUCAUUUCCCACUGCAGGCCACAGACAGCCCACCCAUCUGCCUCCCCUCAACCCCAAGAAAGAGAAAGCCUCCAGCGUUGCCAGUCCUGUCACAACUUCCUGCCUGCCUGUUCGUAGGAAUGGCCUGUGCAUGCAGGGUUCACUCCUUUCUGAAGUGCCUUAUCAUGGGCACAAACAGCAAUAAACCACUGUGGAGUGCAGCCAGGAGAGGUAUUUAAGACUGUGCCCCAGAAAGAGCCCGAGAGUCAAUGACCUGCAGUGGUGGGUGAGCUUCCUUCAGUUAUCCUCAGCUUGGAAAUGAUUUUCUUCCUGCCAUAAACCAGCCCAGCCUAUACAUCCCUUCCUAUUGCCUUGUUACACCUCUGAGACAGUUAAGAUCAGAGCACAGAGUAUAGAUCUGUUCAGUCAGAGAGAGGAAGUGUACCCUGGAAAGUAGGCAGCUGGCCUUUGCACAGCAAUCAGAGUAGUGCCAUGUUGAAGCCUGAGCCAUCAUGACAUGGGUGGUUCAAGCUUAUAGUUCAAGCCUGACCUUUGACCAGUUACAGAAUUGCUGCAGUCAGUCCAAAGGUCCUGACGCAAGGAACUGAGGGCUCUGACCCAGGCUGAGGUAGGACAUGCACGGGGUCCAUGAAUGACACAGAAUUAGGGCAAUGAUUUAGAUUCAAUCUUGGCCAAGCUCUUCACCUGCUUCUUAAAAAGAGGUUGAAGUUAAGGCCCAGAAGCAGGCAGCUUGCUAUCUGUUGUUUGUCAUAAGUAAGAUGUGUGCUAGCUCUUCAGUAACUUGUGUCUAUUUUCUUCCAUGGCUGGGGGGUCAGUUAAUCUCAAUUCUUUUGAUGUCAUAAGACAUGUCCGUGUUCACAGCCCUCAAGAUACUGUUGGACAUGGGAGUCUGCCCUUGGUGGUUCCCACUGACAAAUACAGUCAGGGUCCUAGUGCCCCACUGGGGGGGGGGGGUGCUACCUGACCAGCUAUGAGAGGCUGGCACGGCCAGGCAGGACCCUCCCUUCUCGAGCCUGGGUGUCUCGUCACCUCCAUCGCUGCAGCCCGGGCCCGUGCAGGGCUGGAAGUCCUGGGUGU